rnacentral:rRNA from 1 species
UACGAGGGGGAGCGAGCGUUGUUCGGAAUUAUUGGGCGUAAAGGGUGCGUAGGCGGUUUGGUAAGUCUGAUGUGAAAUCUAUGGGCUACAACUCAUGAGUCUCGCAUCGGAAACUGCCGGGCUUGAGUAUGGGAGAGGUGAGUGGAAUUCCUGGUGUAAGCGGGUAGAAAAUGCGUAGAUAUCAGGAGGAACACCUGUGGGCGAAA